UUAGCUUUCUAUGUAUCUAAUUGCAAGACAGUUUUCUAUGCAUAAUUUUUAUCUGAAAUCAGGAUUUUCAAAGGGUACAUUUUAACUUUGGUUAAUAGGAAAUGCAUUUAACAAAAAUUAGGAAGAGUUCAGUAUAGUUUGAAAUAAAACCCAGGAGGGUGCCUGAGUGGCUCAGUCGUCAAGCGUCUGCCUUCGGCUCAGGUUAUGAUCCCGGGAUCCUGGGAUCGAGCCCCACGUCGGGCUCCCUGUUCGGUGGGAAGCCUGCUUCUCCCUCUCCCGCUCCCCCUGCUUGUGUUCCCUCUCUCGCUGUGUCUCUCUCUGUCAAAUAAAUAAAAUCUUAAAAAAAAAAAAAAAAAACCCAGGAAAAAAGAUUAAUGUCAGCAUUUGUCCAAGAAUCCUACUUGAUAGGCCAUAAACCAUGAUUUAGUGGGAAAAGUACGAAAAGAAUUCUCUUAUGGUUUAGGAAAAAUACACAGUAAUUGUAGAAAAAUAGAAAUUUCAGAGAAGCAAAAGUAAAAUAAUCUCUAAUACCAUCACUCAUUGGUUACAUUUUUGGUGACAAUCCUAGAAUUUUUUUUGUACUUCUAUUUGAAAAAAAUGAAUUGUACUGUAACAGGCUUAAUAAAGAGAUUCUUUUUAAGCCACAAACUAUAAAUUGAGAGUCUUGCCUUCCGUUUUGUAUUUAGUUAUUGUGUCUGGAAAUAAGCAAUCACAGGAGCACAUGAAAAUAAAAUGUUUGGAAGAAAUUAAAGGCCACAUUCAGUUACUGUUAAUGAGUAUUUAACCUUGGUCCAAGUUCUUGUUUAUACUCCUCUUUUUUCCCUCCAUCUGUCUUACAGGGAUUCAGGACCUAAAAAUAAAUUUUAGCAUCUGGAUUCAUAUAUCCAGAUGAAUGCAAAAAAAUAAAAAUUGGAUAUACUCCCAGAUCAGACUAUUUGGGUUAUCUGCUAUUGAUCAUGUUUAUACUUUUCCAUCAGUAAUAGUAAUAAUUUAAGUUGCUUUAAUGAGGACAAGGGAAAAAUAUGUUGUUUGGCUCAAAGAAGGAAAGCCUGAGCUAAAUGAAAAGAUCUGAAUGUAGGUUAGUCAUUAACAGCAUAGUUAUACUUGUACUGAGUAAUAUUUCCAUUCUGAUGAAGAUUGACUUCAACUGCCUACGUCUUACGGAUUUGGAUCGAUGAACCCUUCCUUUUUUUUUUUUAAUAAUUGUGUAUUUUAUCGUGUUAUUCCUCGGUAACUGUUACGCAUAACUGCCUUAAAUUUCUUACUUUUACAAAAUGUAAUGGAGAAGUAAAUAGUAGUAAUAGUAAUCAACUGUUUUCACCAGAGAGGAACCAGUAUUUUAAUUAGAUUUCAGAUAAUUAGAAAAUGGGACGUCAAGAAAAACAUGGAAGUUAACUGGAGAUGUUGAUAGCAUUUGUCUAGUGCUGGGGUUCUCAACCGGAGUGAUUACACCCCCCAGUGGACAUUUGACAACAUCUGGAGACAUUUUUGUUUGUCACAAGAGGGGGAAUACUACUGGUAUCAAGUGGAAAGAAGCCAAGCUAGGGGUGGUGAUGUUGUCCAAAAGAUGCUAUAGCACAAUUUAAACAACAAUUUGAGUGUUUCGAUUUGAAUCUAUAGAUGGUAGUUUGGGGGGAUGAAAUAAACAUUCACUUUUAUGUGCAUAUUUUAAUUAUGUGAAAUAUAUAUGUUAACUUUUUUCUACUUGUGAGUUCUAGUCAUUAUUUUCACAUUUUCCCUCGACGUUUUGAGACCCCAGUUUUCCAAAGCAUGUCAGCUUGUUGUCUAAGCUUAUUUGAAAGAAAGCAGUGUUUUUUGAAAAUGGUAAAUGUUAUAAGAAAUCCCAUGCUUCAAAUUACCCAUUGUAUAAACAUCAAGUUAGCAAUUUCUUUCCUUCAUCCUGCAGGUGGUUGAUUUCCACAUUAUAACCAUUUACAUUGUUCUGAAAAAUGCUUGUAAUAUAUCCUAUGCUUGUUUUUGAGGUCAUAUUUCCAAGAAUAAUGACUAAACGUUAAAUUUCUUUUUUUUAAUUUUUUAAAUAAUGUAUCUGGUAGCCCUUUUUUAGUAUUCUGAAAGUCAUAUGGAAGUGGUUUCAAUCAAUGUGAUUUUCCUAAAUGUUACCUGUGAUUCAAAUAUUUAAUUAGAGUGCUUCUCAAGAAGAGAUUUUGGUUGGCCUGGAGAAAGAUGUCUUUUCUGAGGGAUAAUUACAGAGAAAGAAACCUGCUUACGUGGGAUAUAUAUGUAUAUGUGAAAAAUAGUCCUGACAAGUCUGUGACUGACUUUGGAGUUUGAGAUGCAACACUAAAUAUAAAGCAUUCAGGAGAUUAACAGGAAUGCACAAAACAUCUCCAGGCAAAUGAUUUCAUUAAAUAUUAAUUUAUGAGUUCCUUGGACGCAGAAGCUCAUCUAUACAUAAAUAUGCAGAAUAUCAAAUUACUUGCAAAAUCAGACCCUAUCAGCUGUACUCUGAGGUCCUCAGCUUAUCAGAUGGGUAAGGCCAGCCACAGUGCUCACAGCAUAUCAGUUGGUGAUGCUUUUAAUUAAUUUAAAAGAAAAUCCUGGCUUCCCUGCUGCCUACUCUUGUGGGCCCAGGAAAGGGAAAGUGAAGGUAACUAAAGGAGUGCGUGUGCUUUGGCCUGUGAGUUUUUGUCACUGUAAGAGAAGAGAAGAGCAAACAUGAACUAGUACUACUGCUUGAUUUCUGAACUGGUGAUUAUAUCCAAGAAUUCUCCAUAUUUUUUUGAUCUAGCAUGUCCAAAAAGAUGGACAUAAAAUUUCAUAGUUAGGCCUGGCAUGGGGAGGGCUUCGCCAAUCUAGGGGUCAACGUCAUUUUUUGCACCUCAAAAUCUCUGUCUUCACCCCGUGUGAGGAAAAGACAUUUCUUCUCCGCAUCACCACUAACGCCCACGCUGUACCUCGAUACCGUCUCUUCCUCCCUUCAGGACUUUUACUUUUUCCUUCCCAUUUCCAGUCUCUGCUAAAUACGGGGGAUUCUCGCCCUCUCGCCCUGAGUUACAAAUGCGCUCAGCUUUUCCAGUCCCUCAAGUUAUGGCCUCUCUCUUCCCUCCACUGCUCACCCUCUUGAAAGCCUGUAACUGCCCAUCUCCUUAUUUCCUUGGAAUUCCUCAUCCCUUUACCCCGCUCCCAUUCCACUUCUCAGCGUCUAACUAUGUGAUUUACUUCUAUUUUUUGUAGCUUGCCUCCCUGUGGAGUGUAAGCUCAAUCGGGGCAGGAAUUUUUGUUAGAUUUUUAUUCACAUCCCAAGUGCUCAAUAAAUAUUUGUUGAAUGAAUGAAUGAAUAUCUACUUUAAAUUUGUUUUGUUUUAAGUAGUCUCCCCCCCCGCCCAACGUGGGGCUUGAACGCACGACCCUGAGAUCAAGAGUCACAUGCUCUACUGACUAAGCCAGCUGGGCACCUCUCUACUUAUUUUUUUAAAUCUAACUUUUGCCAACCUGCUCUGUUAAAACAAUCAUCCUGAAAGUGAACUAAUGUCAAAUCUCAUAACUUACUGUUGUAUUUUACAGUUCUGUAUUACAGUUGUGCUUUUUUUUUUUUUUUUUUUUUUUUUAACAUUUCCAGUUUCUGUAAGUCUACUCUCCCAUUACUUGGGGUUUAUGGUUCAUUUGUUUAAGUUUUGUGCAGUGGCAGUGUCGUAGCCAAUGAGGUUUAUCCGAGGCGCGAUUAUUAAUUGAAAACUUUUCAUUUGUUUUCCUAAGAAAAUGAAUCCUAGAAAGACAUAGUGCUACUUCCUCAACCUGUGUUUGCCAUCUCUUCUAUUCCAGGCACUAUGCUCGAUAACGGGACGUGAGGACGGACGACAAGAGGCCCCACCUUAACACAUACAGUGUGAGAGAAGAUUCCCUUGGGGAGAACUUCAAAACACUGAUGUCAGCAGUCUGUUUGCAGGAACUCUGUCAAUAACUCUGUCCUCCUUUGCAGGAACAAAUGGUUUGGUGUGGCGUCUAGGACAUUUUUUAAAGACUUCAUGAAAUUAAUUAUUUUAGAGACAGAGGGAAAGAGAGGGUAAGUGGGGGAAGGGGCGGCGGGGAGGGAGAGGGACAAGCAGACUCUGAGCGGAGACUCACAGGGACCCUGAGAUCAGAGACCCUUGAGCCAAAACCAAGAGUCAGAUGCCAUCUGAGCCCCCCGGGCGCCCCAAGGACAUUUUGGUAAGGUGAUCCACAGGUGCAGCCAGAGCUGAGGACCACUAAGGCUCGUGGGCUCUGCUCAAAAUAGCUGUGCUACAAAGCAGAAUAUAAUUGAACACUUACAAGAUAGAUACCAUGGCCAAGAUGAGGUCCCCAUUCCUCAGGGCUUCCUCAUAAGCACCUGGCCCUCUCCCCCACUGUGUUCUGGGUUGGUUGCCCCACGAAUCUUGUUUCAUAAAUCCCUACAGUUACUGCAGACAUAACAUUUAUCAGUAGCCUUUUUUUUUUUUUUUUUCAUUCGUCUAUAACCAGUGUUUUUGCUGCUGGACUCUGUUCCCUCAGGUCAGGGACCAAGGUUUGCAGUCAGAUUAAAGCGAUUUCACAUCUCAGCAGUUCAUGAUACGGGCAAGUGACUUAACUUCUAUGCAUCCUACUUAUUUAUCUGUAAAAUGUCAAUAAUAAUAGUGCCUGAGAGGCUGACAUGAAGAUGUAAUAAAAUAUUGCCUGUGAAGCAUUUCGUUCAGUGCCUGUAACAUAACGAGCGAGCCAGGAACGUGAGCUACUGUUAUUACUAGUACCUCUCGCGCCCCAGGAUCUGGCAUACUGAUUCGUACCUGGAAAGGACUUAAUAAAUAAAAAUACCACGA